rnacentral:lncRNA from 1 species
GGGAAGCAGGAGCGAGCCCAGGCAGGGGAACGCCCCACGUCCCCCCCCUCCGGCCUCUGGCUGGUGGGCUGUGUGCCGCUGUGCUCGGAAGGGGAAGAUGCACAGAGUGGCCAUGGGGCAGCCAGGCGGCGAGGAGCCCAUCCGCGGGGAGAGACCUGGGUAGAAGGAAGGAGGUGGAACAAGGGACGGAGAGAAUGCUGGUUGUACCUCCGAACCUUGCCAACCCCAUGUUUGAGGGCAACAUCCUGAGUCUGCAGUGCCACGAUGGAGGAAUGGAGCUCUGUCCCUGGCCACGUUCUACAAAGACGGGAAAUCACUCCAUGACCCAAAGGCCAAACAGGUUCUGCCCAUGGGGACAGCGACACUGCAAAGCAACGGCCAGUACAGCUGCACUGGGAAGGCAAGCUUCCUCCCGCACCCAGGCACACAAAGGUCAGAGACGACCACGUUUCAAGUCACCAGCUUCCAGGGGUCGGGGGAGUGGGGGCUGGGGUGCUGCUCAGGGAUCUGGUCCCUAGAGGCCAGCAGCUCUCCUGCCGGCCCGGAAUGCUGGGCCAAUCACACAGCCCUGAGAUGCCCACCACGCUGUCCAAAUGCCCACCCCCAUGGGGCACAUCUGGAACCCAGGGAAGGAGG